rnacentral:rRNA from 1 species
UACGAAGGGGGCUAGCGUUGUUCGGAAUUACUGGGCGUAAAGCGCACGUAGGCGGAUAUUUAAGUCAGGGGUGAAAGUCCCAAGAGCUCAACUCUGGAACUGCCUUUGAUACUGGGUAUCUUGAGUAUGGAAGAGGUAAGUGGAAGUUGCGAGUGUAGAGGUGAAAUUCGUAGAUAUCAGGAAGAACACCCGUGGCGUAAAGGCGGCUCUCUAGUACGGUACUGACGCUGAGACGCGAAAGCGUGGGGAGCGAAACAGG